rnacentral:tRNA from 13 species
UGGCAGCGGUGGGAUUCGAACCCACGCCUCGAAAGACUGGUGCCUAAAACCAGCGCCUUAGACCACUCGGCCACUCUACC